GGGGUCGUGGUGUAGCCUGGUUUAACACACUGCCCUGUCAAGGCAGAGAUCACGGGUUCAAAUCCCGCCGACCCCG
rnacentral:tRNA from 1 species